rnacentral:piRNA from 1 species
UGAAAGUAAGGAUUGACGCAUACCCUGGUC